AGUUCAGCGAAGUAUGAGUCACGUGAUCAUCCACCAGCUGAGAGGAUCUGUGGGUUAUAUGAGACAAUCCCCUUCCGCCCCAAACAGGAACCUUGCGUGGAUGAAACAGUCCCAACGAACACUUUAAAAAGACAAAUGUUCCCGACAGCACUGGUUGAAUUCAAAACUCGGCAGAUCCAUGUUCUUAUCCUUAGACAAGAGAGGGGCCAUAACAAGAUGGAAUGACGGAACAGACGUGAGAGAUGAUGGUACAGUGACUCGGGUAACCCCAGAAAAGGGACAGCUCUUCUACAGCUCAGUGGGGACAGGGACAAAAAGAAACAAUUUCAUUUCAGUCCACCCAGAGGGUCUGCACUUCUCGGAGCCAGAAGGUGGAGAAGAGUAGGGAUGGAGGAAGUUCGAAGUUUUAGGAGUCUGCUCUUGGGUCCCUAGGCAUGAGGACAAGCUUUUCCUGUACUCAAUGCUCAUCUCUCAGUUGUGCCCACAUUGGUACACAUUACUUGCUUUCAACUGCUGCUGCUGCUGUUUCCUAAUUCAAUAAAGAUAUGGCUGGCUCAGCAGAGAGCUGUCAUCCA
rnacentral:lncRNA from 1 species